CUCAGCACCCCAAAAACCCAAAAUUCCACCCCAAAAACCCCAAAAUCAACCCCAAAAACCCCAAAAUCCGCCCCAAAAACCCCAAAAUCUGCCCCAAAAACCCCAAAUUCCACCCCAAAAACCCCAAAAUUCACCCCAAAAACCCCAAAACCAAACCUGGGACUCCCAUUUUUGGGGUCCCCUCCCCAUUUUUGGGGGCCCCCUCCCCAUUUUCAGUCUCCCCCUCCCCAAUUUCGGGGGUCCCAAACCCAUUUUUGGGGUCCCUCUCCCCAUUUUCCAUCUCCCUCUCCCCAUUUUUGGUCUCCCCCUCCCCAUUUCGGGGGUCCCAAACCCAUUUUCGGGGGUCCCAAACCCAUUUUCAGUCUCCCCCUCCCCAUUUUUGGGGGUCCCAAUCUCCCCCUCCCCAUUUCGGGGGUCCCAAACCCAUUUUCGGGGGUCCCAAACCCAUUUUCAGUCUCCCCCUCCCCAUUUUUGGGGGUCCCAAACCCAUUUUCAGUCUCCCCCUCCCAAUUUUUGGGGUCCCUCUCCCCAUUUUCGGGGGUCCCCUCCCCAUUUUUGGGGGCCCCAAACCCAUUUUCCAUCUCCCCCUCCCCAUUUUUGGGGGUCCCAAACCCGUUUUUCGUCUCCCUCUCCCAAUUUUUGGGGUCCCUCUCCCCAUUUUCGGGGGUCCCCUCCCCAUUUUUGGGGGUCCCAAACCCAUUUUCCAUCUCCCCCUCCCCAUUUUUGGGGGUCCCAAGCCCAUUUUCAGUCUCCCCCUCCCCAAUUUCGGGGGUCCCCUCCCCGAUUUUGGGGGUCCCGAACCCAUUUUCGGGGUCCCUCUCCCCAUUUUCGGGGUCCCUCUCCCCGAUUUCGGGGUCCCCCCGCGGUUUUGGGGGUCCCCCCGCGGGUUUUGGGGGUCCCCGUACCCCGACUCUGCGCAGCCGCCGUCCCGCCGUGCUCAGCACUCCCCGGGCCAGAUGUUCCAGCGGCCCCGGGCCCGGGGGGGGCCCCCCUGGAGCCCCCAGGGACCCCCCAAAAAUUCCCACCACGGCCGCCUCCGCCAUCGGGGGGGGGACCCCAAAAUCCUGCGGGAGAAAAGGGAAUUCAGGCCCUAAAAUCCAUUGGGGACCCCAAAAUCCAUCGGGGAACCCCAAAAUCCAUCAGGGAACCCCAAAAUCCUGCGGGAAAAAGGGAAUUCAGGCCCUAAAAUCCAUUGGGGACCCCAAAAUCCAUCAGGGAACCCCCAAAUCCAUCGGGGACCCCAAAAUCCAUCGGGGACCCCAAAAUCCUGCGGGAGAAAAGGGAAUUCAGGCCCUAAAAUCCAUCGGGGAACCCCAAAAUCCAUCGGGAACCCCAAAAUCCUGCGGGAGAAAAGGGAAUUCAGGCCCUAAAAUCCACCAGGAACCCCAAAAUCCAUCGGGAACCCCAAAAAUCCAUUGAGAAGCCCCCCAAAUCCAUCAGGGAUCCCCCAAAUCCAUCGGGAACCCCAAAAUCCUGUGGGAAAAACGGAAUUCAGGGCCCAAAUCCAUUGGGAACCCCAAAAUCCUGCCCCAAAAUCCAUCGGGAACCCCAAAAUCCAUUGGGAACCCCAAAAUCCUGCGGGAAAAAAGGGAAUUCAGGCCCCAAAAUCCAUCGGGGACCCCCAAAUCCAUCAGGGAACCCCAAAAUCCAUCAGGAACCCCAAAAUCCUGCGGGAACCCCAAAAUCCUGCGGGAAAAACGGAAUUCAGGGCCUAAAAUCCAUCAGGGAACCCCAAAAUCCUGUCCCAAAAUCCAUUGGGAACCCCAAAUUCAUUGGGGAACCCCAAAAUCCUGCGGGAAAAACGGAAUUCAGGGCCCAAAUCCAUUGGGAACCCCAAAAUCCUGCCCCAAAAUCCAUCAGGAACCCCAAAAUCCAUCGGGAACCCCCAAAUCCAUCGGGGACCCCAAAUUCAUCGGGGACCCCAAAUUCAUCGGGGACCCCAAAUUCCUGCAGGAAAAACAGAAUUCAGGCCCUAAAAUCCAUCAGGGAACCCCAAAAUCCAUCGGGGAACCCCAAAAUCCUGCGGGAUUCCCCCAAAUCCUGCCCCAAAUCCAUCGGGAACCCCAAAUUCCUGCGGGAAAAGCUGAAAUUCGGGUCCCAAAAUCCAUCGGGAACCCCAAAUUCCAUCAGGGAACCCCAAAAUCCAUCGGGGACCCCCCAGAUCCUUUGGGGAACCCCAAAUUCCUGCGGGAAAAAAAUGGAAUUCCGCUCCCCAAAUCCAUCGGGAACCCCCAAAAUCCACCCGGGACCCCCCAAAUUCCAUCGGGACCCCCAAAUCCCUCCCCAAAUUCCACCCGGGACCCCCCAAAUUCCACCCGGGACCCCAAAUUCCUCCCCAAAUCCCAUCGGGACCCCCCAAAUUCCAUCAGGACCCCCCAAAUCCAUCGGGACCCCCAAAUUCCUCCCCAAAUUCCACCCG
rnacentral:lncRNA from 1 species